CUGAAGUUUAAAAAGCUUGCACUUUCUUGAAUGUGAAGCUUGAAUAAGGAAGUGGGUUUCCUGAGAGAGGCAUUUCCCAGCACAAAAGAGUCUUUUCUGUGUGCAACAGUAGGCAGAAGGGCAGAGUCAGACAUGUCAGUCACCAGACACACCAAUGUGCUUUCACUGCCUGCCAGCACUGACAGUCCUUCUGGUCACACAGCUUUACUUUGCUCUGUCUGUGGAGAUUCUGUUUCUGCAGGAACUGAUUCAAUGGGGCCUAUUUAACCCCUGAAACAAGGUAGGAGCCAUGAGGAGAUCCCAUUUCUCCAUAAAAAGAAAGGUCUUAUACUGGAGGAAGAAAAUGUAACACAGAAAAGGAACUCUGUGUCCCUUCCAUCUCCCAUGGAGAAGAAAUAGAGGUCUCAUGGAUGGCUUUCAUAAGUCGUGCUGAGCAGAAACCUACCGCAAAGGUCAAAUUCAGCCUGAAUUAUUUCAGACCAUAGUGUUAUCCCCUGACUAAGCCUUUCUUUGUGCUUUAUAUAUUCUUCAAAGGGAAGUGCUUUGAACCAUUGAAUUUGAGAAUUUUGAUUUGAUUUUGUUUAUGCUCCAGAUAUGAAUAUAAUAAAUAUAUAUAUAUAUUCUUUCAGGAGGAAAGCAAAAAGUUCCCACAAAAUAUAUACAUUGAAAUAAAAAAAAAAAAAAAAACAAACUGUAGCACUCCUGUAGGAAAUGUUAGACAGCCAGCAUUAUUUUGGUAGAAAAAUUUUCCCCCAAAAUACGCUGUCAUUAGAUAUGAUUAAGGUAAUCUUCCUAAAAUUAGACAAACAGACAGACAUGUACCAUUGCUAUCUCCUGCAGCUGUCUGCCUACCAGAUUUGUGACAUUUUAGGGGUAUCUUUUCAAAGCAGCAUACAGAGUUUUAGCUGCAUGACUUUCAGAAACACCAACAGUAGCUGAUUGAUUAAUACUCACACUUACCUUUGCUUUGAAAAAUUUUCCCCUAAUCUUCCUGUCUGUUGGGCUUUGGAAAAGUACUUUCCUAUUUCCCAUGCAGAGCAAUGUAGAAACUAUUCAAUCUAUAUUAAAAAUAAAUGAAAUUAAAAUAAAAUAAGACUAAAAAAUAUAUAACAUAAAAUAAAGAUCACGAUUUUUACUAGUUCUCUGCUUUCUUGAUUGCUGCUCUGGUACUGUGAAUGCAUUCCAAGCUUUGUUACAUCCAUCAGGGAUGGUACAGAUGGACAUUUUGCCUGUCCAACCUGACUCAACUGCUUGAAGAUUCAUCAGAGAGAAUCUGUUGGCAAUUGCAAAUGGAUGUAAUCCAGAGCCAGCAGAUUUUGUUUCUCUAGAGGAAAGCAGGACUGUAAAGGGCAGACUAGACUGGCAAAAAUAUUUACUUUUAUAUUUCAUCACUUCAAAUUUAUAAUGGGACAAAAUGCUUUUAAAACUUCACCUUUUUAAUAAGAUACUAACAAAGAUUUUCAAUGCAAUUCAUUUGCUGACAAGUCAGACACUUGAGACUGGGGAAGCAUUUUGACUUAGAAAAGAAAAAAGAAAAAUGAAAAGAAAAAGCAAUCAGCAGGGUGACAUAUACUUUAUUAGUCCUCUUCAAAAUCACUUCCUUCCCUUUCUCCCUUUUAUAUUUCUUGUCUUUCCAUGUGCUCUCUCGUUACAUUACAUCCCUCAUUUUAGGCAUUUUAAUCCCUCCAAAGGGAUGCAUCCCAGUGGCACAGGCGGUAGUAAGGUACAAUGUUCAGCUACACCAUGGCUCUUUUACAGUGCUGCGGCAGCGAAAAGCAGCCUUAUAGCCCAUGGAACUGGCCACUGUGGAAUAUCUGCCCUACUAUGCACAAAUCGGGGUUUCAGAAAGCAAGUCAGCAUAUUGGAUAUAUAAUGGCUUCUGUCACAUUUUCCAGUGUAAAAGACCCCCAUGCCUUUGGUAAGCAUGGGGAAUGAGGAAAGGGGAUCUUGCUUGAAGUCUUAUCAUGGCCUUGAGAGAAAAAUUCUACAAAAUUCAAUCUGUUUAGCUCUAAAGGGUACCUUUUCCUUCUGAAUAAACUGCGGUGCAAUGAGGAGAAUCAGUCGCUGCUUGUUGUAGAAAUGUGGGGAAGUUCUCAGAAAUAUUUCUGAGGCAGUUAUAUUAAAUUUAUUUACUUGACACCUGAGGAAUUGUCAAACACAAAUAGUCUCCUGUCUUCUCAUAAUAGGUAGCUGCAGGAUAUUUAUUUAUUUUUAAGUGGAAGUCUUAUUGAAUGGUCAAUACUCUUUCUACUCCUUUGAAUGGUUUAUACUCUCUAUAUAUAAGGAUGUAUAAGUUACCUUCUCCUUUUCUUCUGAGCCCUGUUUGGCCAGUUAUUAAUAAGUCUGGAGUUGGUCAGAACAUUUUUCCUCCCAUAUUUCAUGUGUCUACAGCACAAUUGCCACAAAA